GAUUAUGCCAAGUAUGAGAAAAAUCAAAGCCUGCAAUUGGAAAAUGAAAUUGUAUUAAUAGAGCAAGUGACUGAGCAGACUGUAGUUCACAGGCUGUCCCACUGGAACCGCAGAUAUGUAACACCCAGUGUCCGAGUUUGGGUCCUUUCUGUGGCCCAAGUAAUGAUGUAACACAGGGCUACAUGAAUCAAAGUUAGUCAUGUGUGAAUUUCAGCCCAAGAGAGACAGGCUUUAUAAGACUAGACCUGAAAACCUCCCACUUUGUUAUUAUGGAUAAUAGUACAAAGUAAAACAGAGGAAUAUUUUUUUUUCUUUAGAUCUGACCAGUUUUCAAUGAAUGAUUGUUGUCUCUGAUAUCAAGCACAGCUUCAGAAUUAAUCCUUUUCAUUCUUAUUAGUCAACCAGGAAAAAGGCUGAACUCAACCAGAUGAGAUCUGUACUCUUCAGGAACUGGUAUGUGAGACCUUGCUAUGCUAUGAAGAGAUAAAGAGUCUACACCACCUAGCUCCGGAAAGGCACUGCGGGGAUUCAAGAAGAUCUUGCAGGGGUUAGUAGAAGACAGUGGAAAAUGGACUUCAAUUUCUCUAUACUGGUGUUAUGCUCUUAUACGGAAAAUAAGACUGUAAUGACAAUGUCUUGAAGAAGGGCUCUUCCUGCACAACCUUUGGGAUGAUGAGGGGCUCUCCCACCACUGAUACAUUUGUUAGGCAUGACAAAGGGGAAAGUGACGCACUCUGGCAUGACAACUGUAUUGCUUAUGUGAUACUUCAGCAAAAUUGAAGAAUGUUAUGAAAGUAUAGUGCAGAGAAAUUAAUCAGUGUUUAUAAACAUAUAAAUAGAUUUCUGCUAGAUAUUUCUAAUAAACCUGGAAUUGUUCAGCAGGCUUA